rnacentral:lncRNA from 1 species
AUGGCAGGGCCUCGCUUGGCCCAGGCCCCAGCUCCCCUCCGUGCCCCCUCCCACCCGGCUGCUCUGCACUGGCGUGUCCUUCCCGCAGCUCAGCUUCCAGGCUUAGACAGCAGGGCGUGGGCCGGCCCGUCUCUCUGCCGCUGCUUCUCUGCUUCCUUCAUGCUGAGCAGCAAGCUCGCAGCUGCUGCCCCUGCCGGCCGUGGUGCAGGGUGGGCCCCGCUGGGACCGCCAGUGGGCGCUCCGUUCUCACGUCUGAGGGCUUGGGCCCUGCCCGGCUGUCCACGGACCAGAGUGGAGGUGGUCGCCAGACGCUGCAAGCUCCCAGGAAGGAGCAGGGACUGUGCGGGUCCCAGGAGGCCCUGCACGCCACCCAGCCGUCCAGGCCCCAGCGCCCGCCUGCAGGGCCACUGCCCUGCAGCGCCCAUGGCAGGGCCUCGCUUGGCCCAGGCCCCAGCUCCCCUCCGUGCCCCCUCCCACCCGGCUGCUCUGCACUGGCGUGUCCUUCCCGCAGCUCAGCUUCCAGGCUUAGACAGCAGGGCGUGGGCCGGCCCGUCUCUCUGCCGCUGCUUCUCUGCUUCCUUCAUGCUGAGCAGCAAGCUCGCAGCUGCUGCCCCUGCCGGCCGUGGUGCAGGGUGGGCCCCGCUGGGACCGCCAGUGGGCGCUCCGUUCUCACGUCUGAGGGCUUGGGCCCUGCCCGCGGACAUGGGCGGACUGGGUUGGGGCUGCCGAGGGCAAGGUGCGGCUCCGUGGCUGCGUCGGGUCGGAGGUCGUCGCCGUGGGGCUCCAGCCCAUGGGUGCGGGGCCUGGCCAGCGGGGCCCGGCUCUUCCCUGAGGCCCAGGGGCUGGCUGCGGCGGGCGGUGUGGCAGGCGGGCGGUGUGGCCGCCCUUCACUCUGUUCUGUCCUCUUCUCUCCUGUGGCUGUCUCGACCCCUCCGGUUUCCUUCCUCUAAGGAUGGCGGUGCAGCGCCCAGGGGUGGCGGGCGUCUCCUUUCCCUCAAGGCCACGUGGGUGGUGGAGCAAGGCCCGGCAGGCCCGGCCUAA